rnacentral:rRNA from 1 species
GACAGAGGGUGCAAACGUUGUUCGGAAUUACUGGGCGUAAAGCGCGUGUAGGCGGCUUCGCAAGUCGGAUGUGAAAGCCCACGGCUCAACCGUGGAAGUGCAUCCGAAACUGCAUGGCUGGAGUCUCGGAGAGGAAGGUGGAAUGCUUGGUGUAGAGGUGAAAUUCGUAGAUAUCAAGCAGAACACCUGCGGCGAAGGCGGCCUUCUGGACGAUGACUGACGCUGAGACGCGAAAGCGUGGGGAGCAAACAGG